GUUUGGUAUGGGUUUUUUAUAGGGAUGGAAAUGGAAUUAGAUUACCGUUUCCGUUAGAAUAUGUUUGGUUAAGGAGUAAAGUAACAAAAAUUGUUUCUUGGUAAUAAACCAUUCCACCACUUUGUUUCCGGUGUAAAAACUGGACAAACAUAUCACGAUUCUAUCCUCUAACCCAAAAAAAACUCAACUCUACCCUUUCUCACUCCUCUUAUUCCAAAAUUCUCCAAAAAAAUUCCUAACUUUGAUUGAUCGAAUCUCCAGAUUUCGCUUAAUUUGAUCAAUUUUCUGACAUCAAAUCACCAAAUAUCAACCUUCUUAACCAUUACAGGUUUCUACAAUGCCUCGACUAAUGCAUUCUAUAGGGAAGAAAAGGCUCAAACAACUACAGGGUACGUACAGCAGAAGCCAAGCAGUUUGGAUAUUGGAAAUAUAAUGAAGACAUGGAGAAAAGAAUAAUCAUAGAUCAAAUAAAGCUAGAAGAAGACAAGGCUGAUAAGAAACUAGCUCAUAAGAAAGCUAAAGGGUUGUUUGGAGUUUCAAUUCAUUCAUUCACUAUGAUACUCUUGCGGAAAUAUACGCAAAAGACAAAGCUACCGGAGAUGCAAGUGAGUCGUUCGUUGAUGCUAUAGAAGAUAUGGACCAAGAGAUUGAUAAGAAACCAUGGAAUGUCGAGAGUGAUGAAAAAUGAUGUGAUUGAUCUUCUUAAGUAGAAAUUUUGUUCUAAGUUGUUGAAGUUAAUGUUUCAAUGAAUUUUGAAUGUUUUUUUUAAUGGUUAUUAGUGUUGUUCUACUUCUAUUGCAUAAUGUGUAGCAAUAAUUAGCAAAAACAACAAAAAAAAUUUAAGGAAACUAUUUCUUUCCAAGCUAUUUAUACUAAAUUAAAAAAGAGGAAA